UACCCUGCAGCUUCAAGUUUGGUUCAUCGGGCAUGUGGAAAAAAUGACAAAACUGAGGGUGGUUUUCAAACCACUCCAGCUCAGGCUUAAACCUAGCCGUCUUCAGUGAAAUAUCUACAAAAUAAAUCAUUGAUUCUUAUAGUAUCACGAUCUGCCUAAUCUCAAGUCAUUCCUUCAAGUAUUACAUCUUCAAACUUUCAAAUAUUCAAUCCCGAAAACAGUGACUCCAAAUCAUUGACAACAAAACCGAUCGUUCAUUUAUUCUUCCAAUUUUAUGAGCUGUCUGAUCUCAAAACCCAAAACCAUUCAUUCAAUAAUAAAACUCCAAGCAAUCAAUUCGAUCACUACAUCACAAACAUUCAAUC
rnacentral:lncRNA from 1 species